GGGGGUAAUUUAAUAAGAUUAAAGUUAAUAAAAGAAAUUUUGAAAUUAAAAAUAUAUAAUGGGGGUUAAAGUAUUUUUAAUAGAAAAAAUUUAAAAUUUUAUAGUUAAUUAGUAUUGUAAAGAAAAAUUUAAAUAGUUGAAAUAUUAAUUAAAGUAAAAGUAAAUUUUAUUUAUUGUAUCUUGUGUAUCAGAGUUUAUUUAGUAAAAUUUUUAUUUAAAAAAUUCUCGAAUUUAGAAGAGUUAAUUAGUUAAUAAAGUUAUUGUGACAUAAUUAUUUUAAAUAACUAUUUGGAAAUGAAACGUUAAUCGUUUUUAAAUAUAUCUAGUUAUUCUAGAAAAAAAUUUAAUUUUAAAUUUAAAUAAUUUUAUAAUUAAUUAUUUUAAUUAUAAAAAUUUAAAAUUUAAUAUUUUAGGGGAUAAGCUUUAAAUUAAAAAUUUAUAAUUUUUAUAAUUUUAUUAAAAUUUUUAAAAUUUAUAUUGUUUAAAAAUUAUAAUUUGUUAUAAAAAAUUUUAAUAAAAUUAAAAUUUAAAAUUAUAUUUAAUUUUUUAUAGAAAAAUUAUUUAUAGUAAUAAAAAAUAAGAAAUAAUGAUAAAAUUAGUAUAUUAUAGUAAAAUUAAGUUAAAUUUAAUUAAAAUUAAAUUAAAGGAAUUCGGCAAAAAUUUAUAUUCACUUGUUUAUCAAAAACAUGUCUUUUUGGUUUAUAAUUUAAAGUCUAAUCUGCCCACUGAAAUAAUUUAAAGGGCUGCAGUAUAUUGACUGUACAAAGGUAGCAUAAUCAUUAGUCUUUUAAUUGAAGACUUGUAUGAAUGAUUUGAUGAAAUAUAAUCUGUCUCUAAUUUAUUAGUAAAAUUUAAUAUUUUAGUAAAAAAGCUAAAAUUUAAUUAAAAGACGAGAAGACCCUAUAGAGUUUUAUAUUUUAUUUAAUAUUAAUAAAAUAUAAAAUUAAUUAUUAAUAUAAAAUAAAAUAUUUUAUUGGGGUGAUAAAAAAAUUAAAUAAACUUUUUAUAAAAAUAUACAUAGAUAAAUGAUUUAAUGAUCCAUAAUUUGUGAUUAAAAGAAAAAAUUACCUUAGGGAUAACAGCGUAAUAUUUUUUUUUAGUACAAAUAAAAAAAAAAGUUUGCGACCUCGAUGUUGGAUUAAGAUAAAAAUUAAAUGCAAAAGUUUAAAUUUUUGAUCUGUUCGAUCAUUAAAAUCUUACAUGAUCUGAGUUCAAACCGGUGUAAGCCAGGUUGGUUUCUAUCUUUAAUUAGUUAUAAUAUUUUAGUACGAAAGGAUCAAAUAUGAAAAAUAAUUUUAAUAUAAUGAAUUUUAUUAAUUUUUGUCUA
rnacentral:rRNA from 1 species